AUGGGAACGCGAAGAACCUUACCUAGACUUGACAUCUCCUGAAUAGUGUAGAGAUACAUGAAGCCCUUCGGGGCAGGAAGACAGGUGGUGCAUGGUUGUCGUCAGCUCGUGUUGUGAAAUGUUGGGUUAAGUCCCGCAACGAGCGCAACCCCUAUUAUUAGUUGCUAACAUUAAGUUGAGCACUCUAGUGAGACUGCCCGGGUUAACCGGGAGGAAGGUGGGGAUGACGUCAAAUCAUCAUGCCCCUUAUGUCUAGGGCUACACACGUGCUACAAUGGUGGGAACAAAGAGAUGCAAGACCGCAAGGUGGAGCCAAACUCAAAAACCCAUCCCAGUUCGGAUUGUAGGCUGAAACUCGCCUACAUGAAGUUGGAGUUGCUAGUAAUCGCGAAUCAGAAUGUCGCGGUGAAUACGUUCCCGGGUCUUGUACACACCG
rnacentral:rRNA from 1 species